GCACUUCUCGUUUUAUACUUGGCGAGGUCGUACGAGACUUUCACGGCUUUGACUCCUGCCCUCAUGCAGCUGGGAUGGCCACUGGCAACCUCAGUGCUUGGACCGAGCUGGAGCUGCAGUUCCAGGAAUGUGGCCUGACCCAGUCCCCUGUGAUGGAGCUGGGAUUGCUCCAACUCCUCAGUGGAGCUUCACUGACUUGCAGUGACCAGUGCCUGGCCAUCUCCUUCCUGCCUUUGAUUUUGGUUUGUUCACAGACCAUGGUGGAACCAAGGAGGGACGUCAACCUCAAGAUACACUUGGCAAGCUGACAUGGCCAGAGCUACUGGAAAAACACCAGCACAGACAGCCAUUUCCCCAUGAUCCCCAGAUAUUUACAACCUUCCAGUUCUACUGAGCAGCUCUUCAAGUAAAUUCCAUGAAGGGACCUGGAACUCCAGCAUGCAGAGCCAGGACUGGCAGCAGCGGGGAGAGCUCAGUCAUACACCACUCAUCAGCUCUAAGCUGAGGGAAUCACCACGAGGGAAAGAGGAGAGGCAAAGGAAAUAAAUCAUCUGAUAUCCUGUCAGCAAACUGCCAUCAGUGCUUUGAGACUGGAGGCGUUUCUCCUACCCCAGAAGAGCAUUGAAAAAAAAAAGUCUAGCUGAUAACUUGGACAGGGUUCAGGGAAGAAGUUUGGCAGGCGAGUUGCUCUUGGAAUGCACUCAGUAAACCAUGGACAGGAGAACCAAGGAGCAUAAAUAGAAGUAGCCAUAGGUGUAGCAGCUGGGAGCCUGACUUCUGGCUUCUAUUCCGAGCUCUACUCAUGACUCACUUGACAACCUUGGAAAGCCACUUCACCUCUCCCUGCUCCAGCAUUCUCACAGGCACAGCUCACCCAUUUCACAGCCCCAGGCCAUUCAGCCCCACAGGUCAGGGCACCUGGAGGGGAACUGGCAACUUGAACCAAGUGCAUCUCGUGAAGCUUUUUGGGAUCCAUCAAGGAAAGGAAAAGCACUUUAACAAGAUGUUGCUAAUUAUAGCUUGACAGCACAUAACACAUUCCUGCUCUGGACAGAGCUCUGCUAUCAGCCAACUCAAUUAUACAUUAUCUUUGCCCAAUUCCCUCCUUAUUAAUUGUGACCAAAGCACUGAAUAAAGCCAAAUUUCUGCUU
rnacentral:lncRNA from 7 species